rnacentral:pre_miRNA from 14 species
UAUAGAGUUUGAGGCUAUGAAACUUUAAUUUCUAAAUUGUAACUGAAAGAUCCCCGAAGAGAGACCCUUACUCAAGUCUCGGGAAGUCGCGGACCCCAGACACAGAGAGACCA